rnacentral:rRNA from 1 species
ACGCCGCGUGCGGGAUGACGGCCUUCGGGUUGUAAACCGCUUUUGACUGGGAGCAAGCCCUUCGGGGUGAGUGUACCUUUCGAAUAAGCACCGGCUAACUACGUGCCAGCAGCCGCGGUAAUACGUAGGGUGCAAGCGUUAUCCGGAAUUAUUGGGCGUAAAGGGCUCGUAGGCGGUUCGUCGCGUCCGGUGUGAAAGUCCAUCGCUUAACGGUGGAUCCGCGCCGGGUACGGGCGGGCUUGAGUGCGGUAGGGGAGACUGGAAUUCCCGGUGUAACGGUGGAAUGUGUAGAUAUCGGGAAGAACACCAAUGGCGAAGGCAGGUCUCUGGGCCGUUACUGACGCUGAGGAGCGAAAGCGUGGGGAGCGAACAGGAUUAGAUACCCUGGUAGUCCACGCCGUAAACGGUGGAUGCUGGAUGUGGGGCCCAUUCCACGGGUUCCGUGUCGGAGCUAACGCGUUAAGCAUCCCGCCUGGGGAGUACGGCCGCAAGGCUAAAACUCAAAGAAAUUGACGGGGGCCCGCACAAGCGGCGGAGCAUGCGGAUUAAUUCGAUGCAACGCGAAGAACCUUACCUGGGCUUGACAUGUUCCCGACAGCCCCAGAGAUGGGGCCUCCCUUCGGGGCGGGUUCACAGGUGGUGCAUGGUCGUCGUCAGCUCGUGUCGUGAGAUGUUGGGUUAAGUCCCGCAACGAGCGCAACCCUCGCCCUGUGUUGCCAGCACGUCGUGGUGGGAACUCACGGGGGACCGCCGGGGUCAACUCGGAGGAAGGUGGGGAUGACGUCAGAUCAUCAUGCCCCUUACGUCCAGGGCUUCACGCAUGCUACAAUGGCCGGUACAACGGGAUGCGACAUGGCGACAUGGAGCGGAUCCCUGAAAACCGGUCUCAGUUCGGAUUGGAGUCUGCAACCCGACUCCAUGAAGGCGGAGUCGCUAGUAAUCGCGGAUCAGCAACGCCGCGGUGAAUGCGUUCCCGGGCCUUGUACACACCGCCCG